rnacentral:rRNA from 1 species
UACAGAGGGUGCGAGCGUUAAUCGGAAUUACUGGGCGUAAAGCGCACGUAGGUGGCGACGUAAGUCGGGUGUGAAAGCCCCGGGCUCAACCUGGGAAUUGCAUUCGAGACUGCAUUGCUGGAGUACGGAAGAGGAGGGCGGAAUUCCCGGUGUAGCGGUGAAAUGCGUAGAUAUCGGGAGGAACAUCAGUGGCGAAGGCGGCCCUCUGGUCCAGUACUGACGCUGAGACGCGAAAGCGUGGGGAGCAAACAGG